GUGCCCAUAGCUCAGCUGGAUAGAGCAUCCGCCUUCUAAGCGGACGGUCGAGGGUUCGAAUCCUUCUGGGCACGCCA
rnacentral:tRNA from 2 species